UCUGUUAAGUUAAACCAGGAUCAAACCGGACUAAACCAGAAUUAAAUUAAAAUCAAGUAUCUAGCGCCUUUGUAGUUUGUACCACCCAGUGGCUCCAACCACUGGCUCGCCUUCUCCACAGCGGCCUGUUUGCGCCGCUCCGCCAAGCCGCUGGUGAGUUCGCGUCUUUCCGAGCGACGUCCAGUGACCAUUGUCAUUGAUCGCUGCAGACCCGCUAAGAGAGACAGGUUACACUUGGAGAGCACUUUUUAUGGUAUGUAGAGUAUUUGUGGACUCUUCUACCCCUGGUGAGCUAAGACUUAUAUUAAAUUUUGGUUUGAGUGACUAAAUGAAUGUAACUUAGUUUAUGGUUUGACCGAUGAGUUGCAAUUUUUUGUAUUUUUCUUAAUAUAUUUUUAUUAUUUUGAUAA